rnacentral:rRNA from 1 species
GCUUGCACUGGGGAUUAGUGGCGAACGGGUGAGUAACACGUGAGUAACCUGCCCUUGACUCUGGGAUAAGCCUGGGAAACUGGGUCUAAUACCGGAUAUGACUCCUCAUCGCAUGGUGGGGGGUGGAAAGCUUUUGUGGUUUUGGAUGGACUCGCGGCCUAUCAGCUUGUUGGUGGGGUAAUGGCCUACCAAGGCGACGACGGGUAGCCGGCCUGAGAGGGUGACCGGCCACACUGGGACUGAGACACGGCCCAGACUCCUACGGGAGGCAGCAGUGGGGAAUAUUGCACAAUGGGCGGAAGCCUGAUGCAGCGACGCCGCGUGAGGGAUGACGGCCUUCGGGUUGUAAACCUCUUUCAGUAGGGAAGAAGCCGUAAGGUGACGGUACCUGCAGAAGAAGCGCCGGCUAACUACGUGCCAGCAGCCGCGGUAAUACGUAGGGCGCAAGCGUUAUCCGGAAUUAUUGGGCGUAAAGAGCUCGUAGGCGGUUUGUCGCGUCUGCUGUGAAAGACCGGGGCUCAACUCCGGUUCUGCAGUGGGUACGGGCAGACUA